AUGGAGAUAAGUUGUGAUCUUGAGAAAGCUGGUCAUAGUUUCAAAAACUCUUCCUUUUGGACUGACAAUGGCGCAGGAGUUUUCUCAUCAUCUUCACGUGGAGAGGUUGACGAGGAAGCUCUCAAGUGGGCUGCUCUUCAGAGACUUCCAACUUUCCAGCGCUUGAAGAAAGGUUUGAUCUCUACAUCCGAAGGCGGUGCCGACGAAGUUGAUGUGAGCCUUCUUCAAGUACAAGAAAGGAAGAAUUUGAUUCAGAGGUUGGUUGGAGUAGCUGAAGAGGAUCAUGAGAACUUCUUGUUGAGGCUCAAGAACCGCAUUGAUAGAGUUGGGAUAAGCUUUCCUACAAUAGAGGUCAGAUUUGAGCAUUUAAACAUUUCAGCUGAAGCUUAUGUUGGAAGCAGGGCUUUGCCUACAGUCUUGAACUAUUGUGUUAACUUAGUGGAGGGUUUCUUGAAUUGCAUCCAUAUUCUUCCUACUAAGAAGAAACACUUGUCUAUCCUUAAAGAUGUCAGUGGGAUCAUCAACCCUUCCAGAAUGACACUGCUUUUGGGUCCUCCAAGUUCCGGGAAGACCACACUCUUGUUGGCUUUGGCUGGAAAGCUUGGUCAGGAUCUUAAGUCUUCAGGAAGUGUGACUUACAAUGGUCAUGACAUGCAUGAGUUUGUGCCUCAAAGGAGGGCUGCCUAUAUCAGUCAACAUGAUGUUCAUAUUGGAGAACUGACAGUCAAAGAAACCCUGGCCUUCUCUGCAAGAUGCCAAGGGGUUGGACCCCGUUAUGAAAUGAUAGCAGAGCUAACUAGAAGAGAAAAAGAAGCGAACAUUAAGCCGGAUCCAGAUGUAGACGUCUACAUGAAGGCAAUUUCAACAGAAGGCCAGAAGGAAACAUUGGUGACAGAUUAUAUUCUUAAGAUUUUGGGAUUAGAUACUUGUGCAGAUACCUUGGUGGGGGAUGAAUUAUUAAGGGGUAUCUCUGGAGGGCAAAAGAAAAGAGUCACAACAGGUGAGAUGCUUGUUGGACCUGCUAGAGCUCUAUUCAUGGAUGAAAUAUCAACUGGAUUGGAUAGUUCAACAACUUAUCAGAUUGUAAAUUCAGUCAAGAACUAUGUUCACAUCCUUAAUGGGACUGCAGUCAUCUCACUGCUGCAGCCAGCACCUGAAACUUAUGAACUUUUUGAUGACAUUAUUCUCCUUUCUGAUGGCCAAAUUGCAUACCAAGGCCCUCCUGAACAAGUUCUUGAUUUUUUUGAAUCCAUGGGCUUUCAAUGUCCUGAGAGGAAAGGCGUGGCUGAUUUCCUGCAAGAAGUGACGUCAAGGAAAGAUCAGGAGCAGUAUUGGAAAAACAGAGAUGAGCCUUACAGGUUCAUCACAGUUCAGGAAUUUGUUGACGCUUUUCAGUCUUUCCCAGUGGGUGGAAAAAUUAGAGAAGAACUUGCAGCUCCAUUAGACAAGACCAAGAGCCACCCAGCUGCCUUGACGACCAAAAAAUAUGGUGUUAGAAAAAUGGAACUAUUGAAAGCUUGCUUUUCAAGGGAACUCUUGCUUAUGAAGAGGAAUUCAUUUGUCUACAUUUUCAAGAUCAUUCAACUUGCAAUAAUGGCACUGAUUACAAUGACCGUAUUCCUACGGACUGAGAUGCACCGUGAUUCAGUAGCUGAUGGAGGAAUAUUUGCUGGUGCUUUGUUCUUCUCCUCUGUUACUGUUAUGUUCAAUGGAAUGUCAGAGCUUUCUAUGACUGUUGCCAAGCUUCCUGUUUUCUAUAAGCAAAGAGACCUCCUCUUCUUUCCGGUGUGGGCAUAUGCCCUUCCCACAUCUAUACUCAAGAUCCCUGUCACAUUUUUAGAAGUUUCUGUUUGGGUAUUUAUCACUUACUAUGUCAUUGGAUUUGAUCCAAGUGUUGAAAGGCUGUUUAGACAAUACCUUCUAUUCUUACUCAUUAAUCAGAUGGCUUCUGCAUUAAACCGAUUCCUUGCUGGAGUGGGUAGAAGCUUGACAGUUGCUAGCACAUUUGGGUCAUUUGCACUGCUCAUGAUUUUUUCUUUGAGUGGCUUUGUCCUGUCAAGAGAGGAUAUAAAGGUUUGGUGGAUAUGGGGCUACUGGAUAUCACCUUUGAUGUAUGGGAUGAAUGCAAUACUAGUUAAUGAGUUCCUCGGAAAGAGUUGGAGACAUGUUCUUCCAAACUCAACAGAACCACUAGGAGUUGCUGUUUUGAGAUCUCGUGGAUUCUUUACACAGUCAUAUUGGUAUUGGAUCGGCGUAGGAGCUUUGAUUGGAUACAUAUUCAUGUUCAACAUUUGUUUCAGUUUGUCUCUCACUUAUCUAAACCCAUUAGGGAAGACACAGGCUGUUAAAUCAGAAGAAUCUCAAAGCAAUGAACAUGAUGAGAAGAAUAGUGGAGAUGGAAGUACCUCUUCCAAACCCUCAUCUGUCAGGACAGAAGCUACUGACACUAAUCAUAAGAAAAGAGGAAUGGUUUUCUUCCCUUUGAACCACAUUCCAUCACAUUUGAUGAAAUCACGUACUCCGUGGACAUGCCACAGGCAAUGAAGAACCAAGGUGUUCUUGAGGAUAAAUUGGUGCUUCUCAAGUGUGUGAGUGGUGCUUUCAGGCCAGGUGUUUUGACAGCUCUGAUGGGAGUGAGUGGUGCUGGUAAAACUACUCUAAUGGAUGUACUGGCUGGUAGAAAAACUGGAGGAUAUAUUGAGGGAAAUAUUUCAGUUUCUGGGUACCCAAAGAAGCAAGAAUCCUUUGCCCGAAUUUCUGGAUACUGUGAGCAGAAUGACAUCCACUCUCCUUAUGUUACCGUCUAUGAAUCCUUGAUGUACUCAGCAUGGCUGCGUUUAUCCACCGAAAUAAAUUCUGGAACCAGGAAGAUGUUUGUUGAGGAAGUGAUGAGACUGGUGGAGCUGAAUCCAUUAAGGCAAGCACUAGUAGGGUUACCUGGUGAAAGUGGUCUCUCAACCGAGCAGCGGAAGAGGCUGACCAUUGCCGUUGAACUAGUGGCAAACCCUUCUGUAAUAUUCAUGGAUGAACCAACUUCAGGUUUAGAUGCAAGAGCUGCUGCUAUUGUAAUGAGAGCUGUUAGGAACACUGUGGACACUGGAAGAACAAUAGUGUGCACUAUUCAUCAGCCAAGCAUCGACAUAUUUGAAGCUUUUGAUGAGUUGUUUCUAUUGAAGAAAGGAGGACAAGAGAUAUAUGUAGGGCCACUAGGUCGUCAUUCUUGCCAUUUGAUCAAGUACUUUGAGGGAAUUGAGGGAGUCAGCAAAAUCAAGAAUGGCUACAAUCCAGCUACUUGGAUGUUGGAAGUUACGACUUCAGCAAAAGAAACAGAAUUGGGAAUUGAUUUUGCUGAUGUAUAUAAAAGCUCUGAAGUUUAUAGGAGAAACAAGUCACUUAUUCAAGAAUUGAGUAACCCUGCGCCUGGUUCAAAGGACCUCUAUUUCCCUACUCAUUACCCUCAGUCAUUUUUCACUCAGUGCAUGGCUUGCUUAUGGAAACAACAUUGGUCAUAUUGGCGCAAUCCGCCGUACAAUGCCAUAAGAUUGAUAUACACAACCAUCGUAGCCUUGAUGUUUGGGACAAUGUUCUGGAACCUUGGUUCUAAAGUGACAAAGCAACAGGAUCUCUUCAAUGCAAUUGGUUCUAUGUAUGCUUCUGUUCUUUUUCUUGGUACUAAAAAUGCCAUGACAGUGCAGCCGAUAGUGGCUAUUGAAAGAACCGUCUUUUAUAGAGAACAAGCUGCUGGAAUGUAUUCUGCCUUGGCAUAUGCCUUUGCACAGCUCACAAUUGAGAUCCCUUAUGUUUUUGCGCAAGCUCUGAUCUAUGGUGUCAUAGUUUAUGCUAUGAUUGGAUUUGAGUGGACUGUAGCUAAAUUCUUUUGGUACCUAUUCUUCAUGUUUUUCACAUGUGUAUACUUCACCUUCUAUGGCAUGAUGGGGGUGGCCUUGACGCCGAACCAACACGUUGCUGGUAUAAGUUCUAAUGCAUUUUAUGCAUUAUGGAACCUCUUUUCAGGGUUCAUGAUCCCACGAACCAGGAUUCCUAUAUGGUGGAGAUGGUACUAUUGGGCAUCCCCAAUGGCUUGGACCUUGUAUGGAUUGACGGUAUCACAGUUUGGGGAUAUACAAGAUAAGCUCAACACAGGUGAGACAGUAGAAGAGUUUUUGAAGAAUUACUUUGGUUUCAAACAAGAAUUUAUAGGAGUGGUUGCAGCUGCAGUUGUUGGAUUUUCCCUCCUCUUUGCGUUUAUCUAUGCCUUGGCCAUCAAGAUGUUGAAUUUUCAGAGGCGAUAA